AUGAAAGGAGGCAAGGCGAUGGGCCCUGAUUGUAUCCCCAUUGAGGUGUGGAAAGGUCUCGGGGACAUAGCGAUAGUAUGGCUAACCAAGCUUUUCAACCUCAUUUUUCGGGCAAACAAGAUGCCAGAAGAAUGGAGACGGAGUAUAUUAGUACCAAUCUUCAAGAACAAGGGGGAUGUUCAGAGUUGUACUAAUUACCGUGGAAUUAAGCUGAUGAGCCAUACAAUGAAGCUAUGGGAGAGAGUCAUUGAGCACCGCUUAAGAAGAAUGACAAGCGUGACCAAAAACCAGUUUGGUUUCAUGCCUGGGAGGUCGAGCAUGGAAGCCAUUUUCUUGGUACGACAACUUAUGGAGAGAUAUAGGGAGCAUAAGAAGGACUUGCAUAUGGUGUUCAUUGACUUGGAGAAGGCCUAUGAUAAGAUACCGCGGAAUGUCAUGUGGUGGGCCUUGGAGAAACACAAAGUCCCAGCAAAGUAUAUUACCCUCAUCAAGGACAUGUACAAUAAUGUUGUGACAAGUGUUCGAACAAGUGAUGUCGACACCGAUGACUUCCCGAUUAAGAUAGGAUUGCAUCAGGGGUCAGCUUUGAGCCCUUAUAUUUUUGCAUUGGUGAUGGAUGAGGUCACAAGGGGUAUACAAGGAGAUAUCCCAUGGUGUAUGCUCUUUGCGGAUGAUGUGGUGCUAGUUGACGAUAGUCGGACGGGGGUAAAUAGGAAGUUAGAGUUAUGGAGACAAACCUUGGAAUCGAAAGGGUUUAGGCUUAGUAGAACUAAAACCAAGUACAUGAUGUGCGGUUUCAGUACUACUAGCUGUGAGGAGGAGGAGGUUAGCCUUGAUGGCCAGGUGGUACCUCGGAAGGACACCUUUCGGUAUUUGGGGUCAAUGUUGCAGGAGGAUGGGGGUAUUGAUGAAGAUGUGAACCAUCGAAUCAAAGCCGGAUGGAUGAAGUGGCGCCAAGCUUCUGGCAUUCUCUGUGACAAGAGAGUGCCACAAAAGCUAAAAGGCAAGUUCUACAGGACGGCGGUUCGACCCGCAAUGUUGUAUGGCGCGGAGUGUUGUACGACUAAAAGGCGACAUGUUCAACAGUUAGGUGUGGCGGAGAUGCGUAUGUUGAGAUGGAUGUGUGGCCACACGAGGAAGGAUCGAGUCCGGAAUGAUGAUAUACGAGAUAGAGUUGGGGUAGCACCAAUUGAGGAGAAGCUUGUCCAACAUCGUUUGAGAUGGUUUGGGCAUAUUCAGCGCAGGCCUCCAGAAGCUCUAGUGCAUAGCGGACGGCUAAAGCGUGCGGAGAAUGUCAAGAGAGGGCGGGGUCGACCGAUUUUGACAUGGGAGGAGUACGUUAAGAGAGACCUGAAGGAUUGGAGUAUCGACAAAGAGCUAGCUAUGGACAGGGGUGCGUGGAAGCUUGCUAUCCAUGUGCCAGAGCCAUGA
rnacentral:rRNA from 1 species